rnacentral:rRNA from 1 species
CUUGGGUUUCUAAAGGCAAGCAGGGAGAGAGAAGAAGAAAGAAGGGCAGGAUAGCACCUGAUAGUAAGAGAUUGCCGCCUCGGGCGUAUAAAAUAUCAGUGUCGCCCGACAGCACGCCGCGGCGUGAAAUAAUCAGUGAUGAGGGGGGACGACAGACGUCGUAUUACUCCGGGAUAUUUAUCAUGUGGGGUGGUGAUAAAGAGGAGGUCGGCGACGAACAGCGACGAGAGCAAGUGCUGGGAGUUGAGAAGAUCGGGUGGCCCUACCCCCCGGGACUGCGCAUGGAAACAUGCGGGUCUGGAGUGCAGGAGAGGCAGGCGGAAUUCUCUGGUGUAGCGGUGAAAUAGCGUAGAUAUCAGGAGGAACACACGGUGGCGAAGGCGGCACUGCUGGACAUCGUAACUGACAGUUGAGGCUCGAAAGCGUGGGGAGCACAACAGGAUAUAGAUACCCUGGUAGUCUCACGCCGUAAACGAUGAUCAUAUAGGUGUGGGCGGGUACGAACCUCGCUCGGUGCCGGUAGCAAACGCAUUAAGUGAUCCACCUGGGGAGUACGUUCGCAAGAAUGAAACUCCAAGGAAUUGACGGGGACCCGCACAAGGCGGUGGAGCAUGUGGUUUAAUUCGAAGCAACGCGAAGAACUUUACCAAGUCUUGACAUCCCGGUGACGUGGGAGUAACGUUCCAUUCCCUUCGGGGCAGCGGAGACAGGUGGUGCAUGGUUGUCGUCAGCUCGUGUCGUGGAGAUGUUGGGUUAAGUCCCGCAACGAGCGCAACCCUUAUCCCCAGUAGCCAGCGGAUAGAGCCGGGCACUCUGAGGAGACUGCCAGGGACAACCUGGAGGAAGGCGGGGAUGACGUCAAAUCAUCAUGCCCCUUAUGAUUUGGGCUACACACGUGCUACAAUGGCGUAAACAGAGGGAAGCGAAGGCGCGAGCCGGAGCGGAACCCAGAAAUAACGUCCCAGUUCGGAUUGCAGGCUGCAACCCGCCUGCAUGAAGCUGGAAUCGCUAGUAAUCGCGGAUCAGAAUGCCGCGGUGAAUACGUUCCCGGGUCUUGUACACACCGCCCGUCACACCAUGGGAGUCAGUAACGCCCGAAGUCAGUGACCGAACCCGAGAGGGACAGAGCUGCCGAAGGCGGGACGGAUGACUGGGGUGAAGUCGUAACAAGGUAG